UACGGGGGGGGUAAGCGUUGUUCGGAAUUACUGGGCGUAAAGGGCUCGUAGGCGGCCAACUAAGUCAGACGUGAAAUCCCUCAGCUUAACUGAGGAACUGCGUCUGAUACUGGAUGGCUUGGAUUCGGGAGAGGAAUGCGGAAUUCCAGGUGUAGCGGUGAAAUGCGUAGAUAUCUGGAGGAACACCGGUGGCGAAGGCGGCAUUCUGGACCGAUAUUGACGCUGAGGAGCGAAAGCCAGGGGAGCAAACGGG
rnacentral:rRNA from 1 species